rnacentral:rRNA from 1 species
CACUGCUAUCGGGGUUCGAUUAAGCCAUGCGAGUCGAGAGGGUUCAGACCCUCGGCGCACUGCUCAGUAACACGUGGAUAACCUACCCUGAGGAGGGGGAUAACCCCGGGAAACUGGGGAUAAUACCUCAUAGGUUUCAGAUGCUGGAAUGCUCUGAAACCGAAAUGCUCCGGCGCCUCAGGAUGGAUCUGCGGCCGAUUAGGUUGUUGUUGGGGUAACGGCCCAACAAGCCCGUCAUCGGUACGGGUUGUGAGAGCAAGAGCCCGGAGAUGGAUUCUGAGACACCAAUCCAGGCCCUACGGGGCGCAGCAGGCGCGAAACCUUUACAAUGCGAGCAAUCGUGAUAAGGGAACCCCGAGUGCCUGAAACCAGGCUGUUCAGGUGUUUAAAAAGCACCUGGAGAAAGGGCCGGGCAAGACCGGUGCCAGCCGCCGCGGUAAUACCGGCGGCUCGAGUGGUGGCCGCUAUUAUUGGGCUUAAAGCGUUCGUAGCU